ACUUCCUCUACGGUGCACUGCCUCACCUCAGGCCCAGACUCAACAUGGACAAUUGACCAGGAACUGAAGGCAUUAAAACCACGAACCAAAAAUGACUACAAUUGUGGUGAAUGUGGUCCCUGGUGUACCAGGAGAAAGAAGCAGAAGUGAGAAAGAGAUUCCAAUUAAAUAGAAAGAUGCCUGGGAACUAAAAGGAGAAGAGCAGAAACUGCGACAAACCCCCACAUGAACUCCAGUGCCUAGCCUCAAACCUACAGGCCCACACGACUUUCGAGUAUAAAUGGUGAGGAAAACAGAGCCGUCCUAUAACCUCACGAGACCCCUGAACCACUAUGAUUCCAGCAGAACCAACCACCCAAGUUGCAGGUUGAGGAAGAAUGUAAAAGAAGGUCACGAGUUGAGUUCAGAGAAGACCUGCUGAGGACCUCCCAUGCCUCAGCAGAAGCGACUAACAAAGAGUUCUGUGGAGCCAUGAAGCCGGCCUGGAUAGAAUAGAGUAGUCUUGUGAAGAGCGACUGUGGUGGUGGAGGAACAGCUGGAGCACACAGCCGAACACACACAACUCGAUGCUGCUGCUGACUCUUAUGAUCCUAAAGCUCCUAGGACAUGGAAUGUAGAAAAUCCUGUCUUCUCUGUGCUCAUCCUCAAGCUGUGGGAAGCCUGUCCUCUGACUUCCAAGAGCUGCUGUGCUCUCCAGUGCUGGGAGGAAGCGAGUAACAGUUUGAGCGAGAUAUGACAAGGAACUUGUGCAAUAAACAAUGACAACUGAGUAGCUGAGAUUGAAGAUUGGACAAAACCACUCAAGUGUGUGCUGCCUGUCACUGGAGGAGGUUCCUGUGGCCUUUGCUCAGAAACCCCUGUGUACUGUGGAUCCAGUUGCGAUUUAUGAGAAGCUAGAGUGGAGGUCCCAGACAGAGUAGAAUUAUGGAACAGCACAUGAAGGCUAAGGCCAGCACCUAAAGCAAGAACCCCGUUAUGAGGCUGAAAGCAGAAGGAAGAGUCCAAAGGCUGAGGAUCAUCUGAGGUAACAUGCUGUCUGAACUGGGCCAACCACCAGACACUGGCCUCUGUUGAGAAAUACCUCUUAAUCCAAGUCCUGCCACAUGGGAAGACUGAGCUAUUGGUAUGUUUUCCCCUGAUACAGGGGCCUGGCUUCCACACUGGAACCUGUAUCCCUGUGGAUGGCAGCCUGUAUGUGUGCCUCUAGAGGCCACAAAAGUCAGUGAAGGGGAGCAAAGCAAACUUUGACAAUGAGGAGUGUGUUCCCCAACGCAUUCCUGCUAAGAACUGAAAGGCCUUGCGGGAAACAUCAUUUCAGAGAUGAGCAGGCUCCCAAGGGAAGAGAGAAGAAAAAGCUGGAUGUGAGGACACGCUCCUGGGAGGGAGAAGUUGGAAGAGGCAGGGCCUAUGUCAAAUGACUCAUAGAGGAUCCCCUGGCCCAGCACUUUGAGGUCCUAACUUCCCAGCUCUUUGGCUCAUUUCCAAGCUCGGAAAAGCUCUCUUAGUAGCCUGUCUCUAUUUCUACCAUUAUUCAUGUGUUCCCGGUACAAUUAAUUAUUUGUUCCUGAACGCAAGAACCUGGAAAUCCUACUGGGGGCUUCCAGACCUUUCGAUCUGUGCCUGUAAGAAGAGCUGCCAUGUUGGCACCUUGGUCUCAGAUGUCCAGCCUCCAGAACCAGAAGAAAGAUAUUUCUGUUAUUUAAGCUAUUAAAUAUCUCAUACUUUGUUACAAUAGCCUGAAAAGACUUAGGAUGAUGGAUAGAUGAUAGAUAGGUAGAUAGAUGAUAGACAGACAGAUAGAUAGGUAGAUAGAUAGACAGAUAGAUGCAUACAUACAUACAUACAUGCAUA